AGGGUUAUUCACUUCUUUCAUUGGAGGAACGGCAUGAUUGCUUGACUCGACUGCACCAAGGGUGUUCAUGCACGAGAUUAUAGAAAUGUAGAAAAUAUUUUUAUGCAGUUCUUUAUAAAUCUGAGGUCGAAACACCCGUAAACAUGUUUUUAUUAAAAAUAUCUAAUAAUUAUAGUAAUAGUAAAAAUAUAUUCUAAGAUGUAGAUUUAUAUUUUGUGUAUAAUAUUUCAUGCCAAUAAUUAUUUAUUUAGCUCAAUAAUAUCUUUUUUAUUGUUG
rnacentral:lncRNA from 1 species